rnacentral:rRNA from 1 species
GAUGAACGCUGGCGGCGUGCCUAAUACAUGCAAGUCGAGCGAACAGACGAGGAGCUUGCUCCUCUGACGUUAGCGGCGGACGGGUGAGUAACACGUGGAUAACCUACCUAUAAGACUGGGAUAACUUCGGGAAACCGGAGCUAAUACCGGAUAAUAUAUUGAACCGCAUGGUUCAAUAGUGAAAGACGGUUUUGCUGUCUCUUAUAGAUGGAUCCGCGCCGCAUUAGCUAGUUGGUAAGGUAACGGCUUACCAAGGCAACGAUGCGUAGCCGACCUGAGAGGGUGAUCGGCCACACUGGAACGGAGACACGGUUCAGACGCCUACGGGAGGCAGCAGUAGGGAAUCUUCCGCAAUGGGCGAAAGCCUGACGGAGCAACGCCGCGUGAGUGAUGAAGGUCUUCGGAUCGUAAAACUCUGUUAUUAGGGAAGAACAAAUGUGUAAGUAACUAUGCACGGCUUGACGGUACCUAAUCAGAAAGCCACGGCUAACUACGUG